rnacentral:rRNA from 1 species
GAACUUAAGCAUAUCAAUAAGCGGAGGAAAAGAAACUAACAAGGAUUCCCCUAGUAACGGCGAGUGAAGCGGGAAGAGCUCAAAUUUGUAAUCUGGCACUUUCAGUGUCCGAGUUGUAAUCUCGAGAAGUGUUUUCCGCGCCGGACCGCAUACAAGUCUGUUGGAAUACAGCGUCAUAGUGGUGAGAACCCCGUAACUGAUGCGGAUGCCCGGUGCUUUGUGAUACACUUUCGAAGAGUCGAGUUGUUUGGGAAUGCAGCUCAAAUUGGGUGGUAAAUUCCAUCUAAAGCUAAAUAUUGGCGAGAGACCGAUAGCGAACAAGUACCGUGAGGGAAAGAUGAAAAGCACUUUGGAAAGAGAGUUAACAGUACGUGAAAUUGUUGGAAGGGAAACGCUUGAAGUCAGACUUGCUAUUUGGAAUUCAGCCGCAAGGUGUACUUUUCAAUUCGCAGGCCAGCAUCAGUUUUUCGGGGUGGAAAAGGGUAGAGAGAAGGUAGCAGUCUUGGCUGUGUUAUAGCUCUUUGCUGGAUUCAUCCUGGGGGACUGAGGAACGCAGCACGCUUUUUGCAAGGCUUUCGAGCUUUUCGUGCUUAGGAUGCUGGUGGAAUGGCUUUAAACGACCCGUCUUGAAACACGGACCAAGGAGUCUAACAUGCUUGCGAGUGUUUGGGUGUCAAACCCGGACGCGCAAUGAAAGUGAAUGGAGGUGGGAAGCGCAAGCUGCACCAUCGACCGAUCUGGAUUUUUUAAGAUGGAUUUGAGUAAGAGCAAUUAUGUUGGGACCCGAAA